AUUGAACGCUGGCGGCAGGCCUAACACAUGCAAGUCGAACGAGUGGCGGACGGGUGAGUAAUGUCUGGGAAACUGCCCGAUGGAGGGGGAUAACUACUGGAAACGGUAGCUAAUACCGCAUACCAUCGGAUGUGCCCAGAUGGGAUUAGCUAGUAGGUGGGGUAACGGCUCACCUAGGCGACGAUCCCUAUCUGGUCUGAGAGGAUGCCAAGCACCACGGGAACUGAGACACGGUCCAGACUCAUACGGGAGGCAGCAGUGGGGAAUAUUGCACAAGGGGCGCAAGCCGGAUGCAGCCAUGCCGGGUGUAUGAAGAAGGCCUUCGGGUUGUAAAGUACUUUCAGCGGGGAGGCGUUACCCGCAGAAGAAGCACCGGCUAACUCCGUGCCAGCAGCCGCGGUAAUA
rnacentral:rRNA from 1 species